AGUAUCUGGUCAUCGAAAGUGGCGCGAAAGCGUGCGCUAGUCAAAAUGUAUUUUGGCAACACCGUCAAAUUGCGGGGACUUCCUAAAGCUUCUGCUACCAAGCUAGCGUCGAAAGACAGCUAGUGGCCGAGUUAACAGCCCUGGGUAUGGUAAAAACGCAGAAGAUGAGUUCUCACGAACGAAAUGGAUGAUCCGCAGCCAAGCUCUAAACACGCAGCUGCUGCGUGCACGAGUGCAGUUCACAGACUAGACGUCGGUGGGCCGAGAGGCUUAAGAUAUAGUCGAUCUGGACGCGAAAGCGUCGC
rnacentral:ncRNA from 1 species